rfam:Brassica napus, WGS project CCCW01000000 data, contig: 2318
CAGAAUGAUGAAAACUGGGAGACGGCGCACCAGAAUACGAAGCAUCAAAAGAUCUCCCCGACCCAUCUGGUA